CUUGAAGGAGUUCGACAGGUGAAGAAGGAGUUGGCGACGUCUAUGCGAGCUAGGAACGUCUUCCCAGUCAGUUGCCUGUAGGGUUAUGGCAGAUGACUUGGGUACUGCGCUGCUGAAGUGAUGAUGCUACUCUGAUGUUUAGUUAGGCCCUUCGAGGCUAUUAUGUAAGUAUUGGUCAUGUGACCAUGUUGUAAUUUUCUUAUUCCGCUUUGUAAUGGAUGGUGUAAUUUGAUAUCAGUUCGGUUAUGUGUUCACGGCGCACUGAUCAUGGGAUCGUGAACUGUAUACAUAACAGGGUAUUUCGGACAGCUAGUCCGGGGUCCCCACAGAGCUGAUCUGUAACACCCCAACUUUUGCAACCUUGAUUAAUUGUCCAUAUUUCAAAUAUUAGGGGGAACAAAAACUUUUUUCUAUAGACUAAUUUAGAUGAGUUGCCUUGAUUUAUUUGUUGUGAUGAAUUGCUUUGAUCUGCCGCUAGAUAUAUUGUCUUGAUUUCUUGUUGAGUUCUGUGUUGAGUACCUCAAAGAACAACACCUCUAGUGGUCAAACAUACAACUCACCUAAUAAAAAAAACAUGUGUGACUUAGGUAAAAUUGUUUUCCUUUUUACUACAUCAAACUCUUCUCCUGAUGGCAACAUGAGUGUGCCAUCUUGAUAUUCCUAUUUGUGUUAGUCCAGCUCAAACCAUCCUUGAAUCCAAAAUUUGGGAUCAUCUACCCUCAUCACAUCCUUCUCUUAUACCCACUCAUCAUAGGUUGAUUCUGAAGCCAAGUCAACAAUCUGUUUUGGCAAGCUUAUAAGUUCCAGACUUUGGCAGUGGAUAUCUAAGCAACCACCACUGUUAUUGUUGACCUCAAUGCAUGGAUCUCAUCUAUGCAACAUCCUCUUCAACCUCCACGUCUUGCAUGUCUCAGUCAAUCCUUGCAGCUCAUAUUUUCAACUUGAUCUUGUACCCUAUCCAAUGUUUUACCUCAAGAUCACUUCCUUCACUUUUACCUCUUGUUUUUAUUCAAGUUUAAUCUUCACAAAACCAAGAUUGGGAAUGAUGGGUACAUUUUGAGGCCACCAUCUACCCUUGAGAACACUCCUCCCUAAAUUAGUUUUCUUUCUCAAAAACCCUAUUGUUUUUCCUUCUCUAGUUUUGAUCACAAAACUACUUCUAGUUUUAUAAAAUCUUUUCAGGAUAUUUCUUCAAAGAAAACAAAGAACUGAAAUGGGUUUUGUUUUUCAUCCCAUUUCUACCAAGUACUGAUUUCUAAAACAUUAUUUUCUAUUUUGUUUUCCAUUUUACAAAAGGCUUGUUUAUGGUACCUAUACCAUUUCUUGUCUUCCUCUUGCUUAUUUUACAUUUGAGAAAAACUCUACUUCACUUGAGAAAGUAAGUAGAACAUUUUGACCUCCUAUGUUCCAACUAGUUUCUCUCAACAUUUUCAAAUUCCAUUCCACUUGAGUUCAUUCCCAAUUGAGGUGUUUCAAAUCCCUUUCAAAUAAAUUCUUUAUUUUCAAAUGACAAUCCUUGCACAUCUUAUGCACAUCACUGAUUUACCACAUUGUAUCCCCUCAUCCUCCAAUUCUUGAUCAAAUGGAUGAUCAUUUGAUACUUUCAAAUGGACUCCCUUCAACUGAACCCUAGACUCAGGGAGUAUUUCAAACCACUCCCAAUUGACCUUUUUUUUUUUAGAACAACUUAUUUUUCCUCAUACCUAUCUCACUCCCCCAUUCUUUUCCAUCAACACCUUGACCUCUUGAAUUGAUUUUAUGCCACCAUAUUCACCAUUGGUAUUGUAUCUGUACUUCCAUCACUACCCCUCUAAACCUUGGAUCUAUCUCUUUCCAUCAUUUGUUUGCCACAAACAAAGUGAUAACAAAUUUUCCUUUUAAUGCAUAUCACUCUCACUCUCCAUUUCUAUCUCUAUGUCUCAACCUCCAUCAACAUUACCUCCUCAACAUCAUGCACAUGGAUGAUGUGCAUCUCUCUCUCAUUGUUCAUUUUUGUUUGGCAAGAAUGGAGCCGGCCAAUUUGUGUUUGCAUUCAAAAUUCGGCCAGCACUAUCUCCCCUUUUCCUUCUUAUACAAGCCAUGCCUCCCACCUACCCCAAUCCAUAAAUGGGCAGCCUCCCAACCAACUCAAUCAAUGAGGAGGCUACCUCCCAACCAACUCAAUCAAUGAGGAGGCAGCCAACCCACCCCCUCUCCCUCUAUAUAAAGGGGCUUGGCAGCCCACUCCCUCCUCACUUGCUCUCAUUUCCCACUCUCCACUCCUCUCCACUCCUCUCCUUUGCCUCAUUUCUUUUCACUCCCUACUAUUUCCUCCACUCCCUCACACUCUCCUCCUCCACUUCCCCACGAAAAUGGUGCUCCCCUUGCUCCCAUGGCCGGCCAUAGCCAUGGCAAGCCACCAAGAUGAAGCUCUCCCCCUCCCUCAAACUCAUCCUCACCAUGAGAGCCUCCCUCUCCUUCUUCUCCCUAACCUUAGAUGGUUUAAUCUCCUCUUCUUCUCCCUCCAUUGCUAAGAUUGGAUCUUGAUGCAGGUGCAUGUUGGUCCAAGCAUGGAGAAGGUUGAGCUAUCCUCAGAUCUGAAGUUCUUGAGCAAAAUCCAAAUCGAGUGAUUCAAAUUUCUGCAGAUAGGGGAUGUUUGGUUUAUACUAUGGUGAUAACCGAGAGAGGCAAUUGCUAAGUUGUGAUACUCUCAUACCUUUACUAGACGCGAGCAAUUUCGGAGAAGAAGAAGAAGUGGAAUUGGACAAGGAUUUUAUUUAUAUUGUUGGGAUUCUUAUAUUGAUGGAGUUGAAGAAGUACAGGGACAAAUAAGCCAAGGCAAGCCAUCUUUUGAUCUCUGAUCCGGUGUCUAGUUGGAUGUCAUUUGUUGAUGUUCAAAGCGCCUUCAUUCUAUGUGUGUUAUUAUCUCUAUUUAUGUCAUCUAUGUGUGAUUGCAAGUGGGGUACUCCCUAGUGGUGAUGCUCCACUAUUGUCCUUGUGUUAUGGGAUGCAUGGUAACAUGGCCGUGCUAUUCCACUUGGUGAUCUUGUAUGCUCAACUUGAGCAUGUUCCAUCUCAAGAUAUUAACUUACACCACACCCAC